GAUCAGGAGGGGCCUGGAUACAUUUCUGGAGAGUAAUAACAUUACAAGUUAUGGCUUUUUAGGCCGCUGACUGGCUUUUACUUGAAAAACUCUCCAAGAGGAAGACUACGGUGUCAAUGGAAGACUGAACCAUAAAGGUGGGCCCAUCCAUCAACCCAAGACCACCAGAAGAGGCAGCUGUAGACACCAACGAACACUGAAAGACAAGAGGACAGAAGAAUGUAACAAAGGGUACUAAGCCCAAAUUGAACUUUCGCAAGACCACGAAAAUUCACUGGCGCAGAAUUGGAUGUGAUCACUACUUGUUGAACAUUGAAGUGCUCCGGAAUCACAUGGCUUUUACUUUUGGAUUGUCUAAUAUAUUUUAUUUUAUUUUUCAAUGUUUAACACGAUGUCCCUGGAAUGUUGAAGUUGGACCAUACUGAUUAUUUAUAACUUAUGCAACUUAUGUGAACCAGUGCUCUUGUCUUGGGAAAGGAGUCCCCUCAACGUACCUGUAUGCAUCUACAGUGGGAACCUUAAGCACACAGUGUGGCAACCUGAUUGCUACAGUGUGUCCCCAACGGGAUCCCUCUGUUGUGUUCGGGGGGUCAU